rnacentral:rRNA from 1 species
UACGUAGGUGGCAAGCGUUAUCCGGAAUUAUUGGGCGUAAAGGGAGCGUAGGCGGCAUGAUAAGUUAGAUGUGAAAGCCCGGGGCUUAACCCCGCGGAUUGCAUUUAAAACUAUCAAGCUAGAGUACAGGAGAGGAAAGCGGAAUUCCUAGUGUAGCGGUGAAAUGCGUAGAUAUUAGGAAGAACACCAGUGGCGAAGGCGGCUUUCUGGUCUGUAACUGACACUGAGGCGCGAAAGCGUGGGGAGCAAACAGGAUUAGAUACCCUGGUAGUCCCU